AGUCUGCAUGUCUAGUAUAAGCAAUUUUACAGUGAAACUGCGAAUGGCUCAUUAAAUCAGUUAUCGUUUAUUUGAUAAUCCUUUACUACAUGGAUACCUGUGGUAAUUCUAGAGCUAAUACAUGCUUCAAAACCCAGCCUCUGGUUGGGUUGCACUUAUUAGAUAAAAAACCAAUGCUCCUUUGGGGCUUCUUGGUGAUUCAUAGUAAUUUAGCGGACCGCAUGGCCUUGAGCCGGCGGUGGAUCAUUCAAAUUUCUGCCCUAUCAACUUUCGAUGGUAGGAUAGUGGCCUACCAUGGUUUCAACGGGUAACGGGGAAUGGGGCGGGGGCGGCGGGCCGGGCGCGGGGCGCGGCGGGCGA
rnacentral:rRNA from 1 species